GAAAUGCGAUAAGUAAUGUGAAUUGCAGAAUUCAGUGAAUCAUCGAAUCUUUGAACGCACCUUGCGCUCCUUGGUAUUCCUUGGAGCAUGCCUGUUUGAGUAUCAUGAAAUCUUCAAAGUAAAUCUUUUGUUAACUCAAUUGGUUUCUACUUUGGUAUUGGAGGUCUUUGCAGCUUCACACCUGCUCCUCUUUGUUCAUUAGCUGGUUCUCAGUGUUAUGCUUGGUUCCACUCGGCGUGAUAAGUUAUCUAUCGCUGAGGACACUGUAAAAGGUGGCCAAGGUAAAUGCAGAUGAACCGCUUCUAAUAGUCCAUUGACUUGGACAAUACUUUUAUGAUCUGAUCUCAAAUCAGGUAGGACUACCUGCUGAACUUAAGC
rnacentral:misc_RNA from 1 species